AGAGCGCAGGGUGGAUGCCUUGGCACUAAGAGCCGAUGAAAGACGUGAUAAGCUGCGAUAAGCUACGGGGAGGAGCACAUAUCCAUUGAUCCGUAGAUUUCUGAAUGGGGAAACCCGGCUGAGCAUACCUCAGUCACCGUACACUGAAUCCAUAGGUGUACGGAGGGAACCCGGUGAACUGAAACAUCUAAGUAGCCGGAGGAAGAGAAAGAAAACUCGAUUUUCAAAGUAGCGGCGAGCGAAAUGGAAAGAGCCCAAACCGGAGUGCGUGCACUCCGGGGUUCGGACUGCAUUUAUGACUUCUGACUGUAGCGGAACGGUUCUGGAAAGACCGGCCAGAGAGGGUGAGAGCCCCGUAGGCGAAACGGAAAGAAGCAGAGCAGGAUCCAGAGUACCACGAGACACGAGAAACCUUGUGGGAAUGAGCGGGGACCACCCCGUAAGGCUAAAUACUCCUUAGUGACCGAUAGAGCAGAGUACUGUGAAGGAAAGGUGAAAAGGACCCCGGGAGGGGAGUGAAAGAGAACCUGAAACCCUGUGUUUACAAACUGUGGAAGUACCAUAUGAGUACAACCGCGUACUUUUUGUAGAACGGUCCGGCGAGUUACGUUUACUGGCGAGGUUAAGCACUUAAGGUGCGGAGCCGAAGGGAUACCAAGUCUUAACAGGGCGUUAAGUCAGUGUACGUAGACCCGAAACCGGGUGAUCUACCCAUGUCCAGGCUGAAGUUGCCGUAAAAGGCAAUGGAGGGCCGAACGCACAUCCGUUGAAAAGGGUGGCGAUGAGGUGUGGGUAGGGGAGAAAUUCCAAUCGAACCCGGAGAUAGCUGGUUCUCCUCGAAAUAGCUUUAGGGCUAGCCUCGUGUUAACCUUGUGGAGGUAGAGCACUGAAUAUCCUAGGGGGCGUCAAAGUCUACCGAAGAUUAUCAAACUCCGAAUGCCAUAGAGGUGAUGCACGGGAGUCAGACUGCACGAGAUAAGUUGGGUGGUCAAAAGGGAAAGAGCCCAGACCUACAGCUAAGGUCCCAAAGUGCGUGUUAAGUGGAAAAGGAUGUGGGAUUUCGAAGACAACUAGGAUGUUGGCUCAGAAGCAGCCAUACAUUCAAAGAGUGCGUAAUAGCUCACUAGUCGAGAGGUCCUGCGCCGAAAAUGUCCGGGGCUGAAACACGACACCGAAGCUUAGGAAUGUAGAUGAACCUUUGGUUCUAUAUACAUUGGUAGAGGAGCAUUGUUAGCGCAGCGAAGCUGUACCGAUAAGGAGCAGUGGAGUGCUAAGAAGAGAGAAUGCCGGAAUGAGUAGCGAGAGGAAGGUGAGAAUCCUUCCGGCCGAAUAUCCAAGGUUUCCAGAGUAAAGCUGAUCUGCUCUGGGUAAGUCGGGGCCUAAGGCGAGGUCGAAAGACGUAGUCGAUGGAUAACAGGUGGAGAUUCCUGUACUAUGUGUACCCAGAACUGUGGGGACGCAUGUGGAGAGCAUGAGCCGGGAAAGAGAAAACCGGUACAAGCGGGGUAGGAGUAAGGACAGCAAAUCUUCCUUACAAUCCGAAGACGUAAUGUGGACCGAACCAAAGUAGGGAAGCGUGUGAGCCAUGUGCCAAGAAAAGCCGCUAUUGUGAUACACAUACCCGUACCGUAAACCGACACAGGUGGAUGAGGAGAGAAUCCUAAGGCCGACGGAAGAAGCAUUGUUAAGGAACUCGGCAAAAUGACCCCGUAACUUCGGGAGAAGGGGUGCCCUGUGAAAGCAGGGCCGCAGAGAAUAGGCUCAAGCAACUGUUUAGCAAAAACACAGGUCUAUGCGAAACCGAAAGGUGAGGUAUAUGGCUGACGCCUGCCCGGUGCUGGAAGGUUAAGAGGAGAAGUCAGGCAACGAAGCUUCGAAUUUAAGCCCCAGUAAACGGCGGCCGUAACUAUAACGGUCCUAAGGUAGCGAAAUUCCUUGUCGGGUAAGUUCCGACCCGCACGAAAGGCGUAAUGAUUUGAGCACUGUCUCGACAAUGCAUCCGGUGAAAUUGAAGUACCAGUGAAGAUGCUGGUUACCUGCGCCAGGACGGAAAGACCCCAUGGAGCUUUACUCCAGCUUGAUACUGGGAUUCGAUACUGUAUGUACAGGAUAGGUGGGAGACGUUGAACAUAGAACGCCAGUUUUAUGUGAGUCGCUGUUGGGAUACCACCCUUGCAGUAUUGGAUUUCUAACCUGCACCCAUGACCUGGGUGGGGGACAAUGUCUGGCGGGGAGUUUGACUGGGGCGGUCGUCGAAGGUCAAGUGGAGGGCGCUCAAAGGGUUCCCUCAGAAAUGGGUUUGGAAACCCAUUCGAAAGAAGUGU
rnacentral:rRNA from 1 species